rnacentral:rRNA from 1 species
UACGUAGGGGGCAAGCGUUGUCCGGAAUUAUUGGGCGUAAAGAGCUUGUAGGCGGUUUGUCGCGUCUGCUGUGAAAUUUCGGGGCUCAACCCCGAACUUGCAGUGGGUACGGGCAGACUAGAGUGUGGUAGGGGAGACUGGAAUUCCUGGUGUAGCGGUGAAAUGCGCAGAUAUCAGGAGGAACACCGAUGGCGAAGGCAGGUCUCUGGGCCACUACUGACGCUGAGAAGCGAAAGCAUGGGGAGCGAACAGG